UACGUAGGUGGCAAGCGUUGUCCGGAUUUAUUGGGCAUAAAGAGCGUGUAGGCGGCCAGGUAGGUCCGCUGUGAAAACUCGAGGCUUAACCUCGAGAUGUCGGUGGAAACCAUCUGGCUAGAGUCCGGAAGAGGAGAGUGGAAUUCCUGGUGUAGCGGUGAAAUGCGCAGAUAUCAGGAAGAACACCCGUGGCGAAGGCGGCUCUCUGGGACGGUACUGACGCUGAGACGCGAAAGCGUGGGGAGCGAACAGG
rnacentral:rRNA from 1 species